rnacentral:rRNA from 1 species
GAUGAACGCUGGCGGCGUGCCUAAUACAUGCAAGUCGAGCGAACAGACGAGGAGCUUGCUCCUCUGACGUUAGCGGCGGACGGGUGAGUAACACGUGGAUAACCUACCUAUAAGACUGGGAUAACUUCGUGAAACCGGAGCUAAUACCGGAUAAUAUAUUGAACCGCAUGGUUCAAUAGUGAAAGACGGUUUUGCUGUCACUUAUAGAUGGAUCCGCGCCGCAUUAGCUAGUUGGUAAGGUAACGGCUUACCAAGGCAACGAUGCGUAGCCGACCUGAGAGGGUGAUCGGCCACACAGGAACUGAGACACGUCCAGAAUCCUACGGGAGGCAGCAGUAGGGAAUCUUCAGCAAUGGGCGAAAGCCUGACGGAGCAACGCCGCGCGAGUGCUGAAGGUCUUCGGAUCGUAAAACUCUGUUAUUAGGGAAGAACAAAUGUGUAAGUAACUAUGCACGUCUUGACGGUACCUAAUCAGAAAGCCACGGCUAACUACGUG